rnacentral:rRNA from 1 species
AUUGAACGCUGGCGGCAUGCCCAACACAUGCAAGUCGAACGGCAGCACAGUAUGUAGCAAUACAUAUGGGUGGCGAGUGGCGGACGGGUGCGUAAUAUGUAGGGAUCUGCCCUGAAGCGGGGGACAACCCGGGGAAACCCGGGCUAAUACCGCAUAAUACUCUACGGAGGAAAUCGGGCACGCAAGUGCUGGGGCUUUAGGAUGAACCUACAUCCGAUUAGCUAGUUGGUGAGGUAAUAGCUCACCAAGGCAAUGAUCGGUAGCUGGUCUGAGAGGAUGACCAGCCACACUGGGACUGAGACACGGCCCAGACUCCUACGGGAGGCAGCAGUGGGGAAUAUUGGACAAUGGGGGAAACCCUGAUCCAGCAAUGCCGCGUGGGUGAAGAAGGCCUUCGGGUUGUAAAGCCCUUUAGGCGGGGAAGAAGGUUAUAGGGUGAUAAGCCUUAUAGCUUGACGGUACCCGCAGAAUAAGCACCGGCUAACUCUGUGCCAGCAGCCGCCGUAA